rnacentral:sRNA from 1 species
CCCCGUCUAUUGGAAAAGACGAUUCCCAACAUGAGAUGUCUGCGGAAGUUCAAUCAAUGGAGCCAGAAGUUCAAGCUGAUUUCGCUAAAGAUUUUCAUGAUCAUGUGAGCUGUGUCAACUCAGUUGUGCCGCAUGAACCGGUUAACUCACAAGAAGUUCAAGAUUAUGAAGCUGAGGAUGAUAAUGAUCUGUCCGCCCAAUCAGUUGCACCCGUCGGUAAGACAUUGACUUUCUAAAAUUAAGGAUAUCUAGCAAAACUUCGAUAACAUAUGUACUUUCCAUUAUAACAUUUUCAGCCGAAUCGUUUUCAUCUGCAACAACCUCUGAGCCACAGGAAAUUGUAGAAAUUCAGGAGCAUCAUGCUGCUCACCAACUCCCAGCAGUUUCCGUUGCCACCUUUGGUAAGUCAUACUUUCAUUUCAGGUGGUAAAAUGUUGAAUACCCGUAAAGAAAGAAAAUAUAUUUAGCCGAAACGUCUGAUAAUAAAGCAACUGAUGAGAUGUCUAUGGAAGCUCCAGAUGAUCACCAAUUCUCCAUCCACUGGGUUUCUAACUUUGGUAAGCCCAAACAACCAGCUCCCAACUGUGAAAUGUUGUAACUUUUCCCAUCAAAACGCUCAUUUUCAGAAGAAAUAUCUUUCUCCCCAGACGGCUAUAAUUCACUCAUGGAUCCGCUGGAAACCUCUCAGUCACCAGAGGUUCGAGAUUAUGUAAAUGAAGAUGGUCAUGAUUUCUGUGACAGCUUAAUUAAGCCAAAGGAACUGUCACAGUCGACAAAAGUUCGAGAAGCUCAAGCUGAAGAUGCUGCACCAUCAGUUUCUCCUAAUUGUAAGCAACAUUGUUUAUUUUGAUGUAUUCGUUUAUGGCUUAUACAGUGCUCCACAUAAUGAUACGGCCACCCCCAAAUUUUGGUAUAACUCAAAACUGGGUUGAGAUAGCAAAACAUAGUUUCUUGUGAAAAUGUUCGCUAUACUAACUUGCUUUCAGAUAAAUAUUGGAAAUAUACCUGAACCGUUCGUAAAAAAGAUAAACCAUUUUUUCAUGAAAAACCAUAUUAAAAAAUCCACAAAAUGAUACGGCCACCCUUGGUUUUUGUUUUCUUUUUUCGUUUUCUUUGCAAUUUUUUUUGCUAAACGUUAAGUUUCAUGUUCGUUUGUGUUUUUACAGCUAUGUGGUCGUGGAAUAACUUCAACUGACUACGAAAAAGGACAAAUUGUGCCAAAUUAUCUCAAGGCUUCUCGAAUCGUCAGAUUUUUCGUGAUUUGAAACUUUCGAGAGAUAUGAUCACUCGAUAUGCUUCCAAUCCUGCCGCUUAUUGCACAAAAAAGUCUUCUGGUCGCACAUCUUUUCUUUCUGUCAGACCCAAGCGAAAAAUCGUUCGUCGUACAUCCAAUUGAACAGUGACUUGCUCGAAAAGUAGGAGCGAGAUGAACCUGGCAGUGUCUGUUGAGGCCGUACGACAUGUUCUUUUGAAGUCUCAGUUUAACAAAAGACGAAAAUUAAGAAAGGCUCCAUUCAUUACCAAAAAAACCGCCAAAACCGUAUUCAGUUUGCUAAAAUCAGUCAGGGAACUAACUGAAGACAAGAGAGGAUUACGGUAUAAUCAUUCAAGCCCAGUUUUUGGUUUCAGUUCAUCUUUUCUUUUCUCAAAUCGUGCCACUAAUCACGGUAGUGAUCUGGUUCAUCACAGUUGAACUUUUUCUCGUCACUGAAGAUGAACUGAAACCAAAAACUGGGCUUGAAUGAUUAUACCGUAAUCCUCUCUUGUCUUCAGUUAGUUCCCUGACUGAUUUUAGCAAACUGAAUACGGUUUUGGCGGUUUUUUUGGUAAUGAAUGGAGCCUUUCUUAAUUUUCGUCUUUUGUUAAACUGAGACUUCAAAAGAACAUGUCGUACGGCCUCAACAGACACUGCCAGGUUCAUCUCGCUCCUACUUUUCGAGCAAGUCACUGUUCAAUUGGAUGUACGACGAACGAUUUUUCGCUUGGGUCUGACAGAAAGAAAAGGUGUGCGACCAGAAGACUUUUUUGUGCAAUAAGCGGCAGGAUUGGAAGCAUAUCGAGUGAUCAUAUCUCUCGAAAGUUUCAAAUCACGAAAAAUCUGACGAUUCGAGAAGCCUUGAGAUAAUUUGGCACAAUUUGUCCUUUUUCGUAGUCAGUUGAAGUUAUUCCACGACCACAUAGCUGUAAAAACACAAACGAACAUGAAACUUAACGUUUAGCAAAAAAAAUUGCAAAGAAAACGAAAAAAGAAAACAAAAACCAAGGGUGGCCGUAUCAUUUUGUGGAUUUUUUAAUAUGGUUUUUCAUGAAAAAAUGGUUUAUCUUUUUUACGAACGGUUCAGGUAUAUUUCCAAUAUUUAUCUGAAAGCAAGUUAGUAUAGCGAACAUUUUCACAAGAAACUAUGUUUUGCUAUCUCAACCCAGUUUUGAGUUAUACCAAAAUUUGGGGGUGGCCGUAUCAUUAUGUGGAGCACUGUAGUUAGAAGAUUAAUAACAAAUAUUUGAAAAAUUUAUAAUUAAAAUUAUUAAAGUAAAUUCAGAUGAAGCAUCUCUUGCAAGUGACGAAGCACUUUGUGAGAUUGUUGUGGAAGUUCAAGAAGAUCGCCAAUUCUCAUCUUCUCCAGCUAGCCAUGAUGCGCCAAUAGAGCAGCAGGAAACCUCUCAGUCACCAGAAAAUCAAUAUGAUAUAGAUGAAGAAGCUCACCACCUCUCAACUCAAUCAGUUGCUCCCGUUAAAGCGUUUCUUGCAAAUGACGAAACACCACAUGAGAUAUCUGCGGAAGUUCAUGACAAUCACCAAGUGGAGUCACCGGAACCGUCACCUUCACCAGACGUUCAAAAUGGUCAAGCUGAAAUUGAACAACAAUAUUCUGCAGACUCAGGUUAUAAUGGAAAUUUUCUAGUGUAGUUUUUUUUUUGGAACAUUCGCUCUCUAAAUUAGUAACGUUUUUUUUUUAAUUUAAAAAUACACAUUUUCAGCCGAACCUCCAUUGUCUGAGUCACUGAAAAUGGCGCCGGUAGUUGAAGGUCGAGCUGCUCAACAACUAUCAACAGUUUCAGAUAUCCCAAUCGGUAAACCAUCGAAUUAUUUUCAGGCGGUUACAAAAUUUUUCAGCCAAACCAAUUCCCGUUAAACUUUCCACUGAAACACUUUUGAGGCAACAAGGAAUUCCAUUGAAUUUUCCAGUCCAUUCAAUAUUCCCGACAACUUUCCAUGAAGCGUUAUUAAAUACUUGUGCUGGACAACCAGAAAAUCAAGUCGAAAAGCAAAAUUUCUCUUUCCAAGCAGUUCCUGAAAUGCCAUCGUCAGCUGAAGUUCAAGGAUCUCAAUCCGGUCACCAAUUUUUCGCCCAUCCAGUUGGUAAGCCAACUCACUGAUUCUUAAAUUUAAAUAAGCAACAUGCUCAUCUUCUAAUAGCCAAAUUUCCAGCCGAACCGGCAAUUUCUGCAUUUGUUUAUAAUAUCUAUGCACAACAGAUGACUCAAUUCAAAAAUCUGGCAAUUAAUAAUAUCCCGGGAUACUCAGGUGCUCCCGUUGGUAAGUCAUUCACUUGCAAUGUAGUCUUUUUUUUUUCGAGAUUCUUAGAAUGUAACAGGCAACAAAAUAAUAUUACAGCCAAACCGUCUUCCUAUGCAACCGCUAAUAAUAAUAUAUUUUUGGAGCAUCAGCUGGCUCAGCAGAAUACUCAUCAAAUCUCAGGAAGUCUAGUUGGUCCACUUGGUAAGCCUGUAAUUAAUUUGAGAUAAUCUAUAAUAUAAUAAAAUUAUAUUUUCAGUCGGACCACCUUUCUCUGCAACUGCAAAUGAUGCCAUGCCUGAGAAUCAACCUGCCGGUUAGUCAUAAUAUUAAUUUUAAAUUGCAACUCUUGAGAUGCCAACGAAGAUACGAUUUUCAGCUCAACAAAAUUUAUUUUCCCAUCCCUAUGCACUCUUGGAGCAACCUCCUCAAAAGUAUCAAAAUCUUGAACAACAAUUAGUCCGCCCAGUUAUUCUUUCCAG